rnacentral:lncRNA from 1 species
UCUGGCCUAUUUUUGUCAAUUUUAUGUGUUAUGAACUCAAAGUGGUUCAUAAAUCUCUCAUAACUUUCACUCUUACUUGCUCAUCCUAUUUUUAAUUAUAAUUUUUGAUUUGUUGAUUUAUGCAUAAAAUUUCAUGACUUUUGUUAUGUAUUAGGACCUUUUUCAGAGCAAAAGAGCCCUCUUAGUCACAUGUAAAUUUUUUUUUUGUUGGCCUUGAAGUCAUCUUUGAUCUUAAUACUACCACCCAUUUCUUAAUUGGGUGUUCUUGAUAUAUCUUUGUCUAACUUUUUAUUUUUAACCUUUCGUUGUCAUCUUGUUCUAGAUGUGUCUCCCGUACAGACUAUAUUAUUUGAAUUUUGUUUUGUCAUCCAAUCUGAAAGUUUUUGCAUUUUAAAUCAAUAGUGUCUUACUCUUUUAUAAAAUAAAUAGAUAUGGCGAAAUUGUUAACAUUAAUUUGGUACGGGACAAGAAGACUGGGAAAUCCAAAGGAUUCUGUUUCCUCUGCUAUGAAGACCAGAGGAGCACAAUUCUGGCUGUUGACAAUUUUAAUGGGAUCAAGAUCAAAGGAAGAACUAUCCGAGUGGAUCAUGUGUCUAACUAUCGGGCUCCUAAGGACUCAGAAGAAAUGGAUGAUGUGACCAGAGAGCUGCAGGAGAGGGGCUGCGGGGCUCACACUCCCUCACUGAAUUCAUCUGAGGGCUCUGAAGAUGGCAAACCCACCAAAAAACACAAAAAAGGUAAAGCAUUAAGGCCCAAGAGAAGAUUCUGGGUAGGCUUAGUGUUUGUUCUUCUUAGCAUUCACUGAGAGUUGGUAAUCAGUUCUUAAGUGUGAAGGGGGAAGGUGUGGGGAAGCUUACUUUAAUUGGGAAAGGAGAGGUAUCAGCAGAAGGCUAAUGGUAUGGGCUGAAUUCUGUCCACCAAAAUACAUAUGUUGAAGUCCUAACCGCCCUCCCCCACCCAGUAACUCAGAAUGUGACUGUAUUUGGAGGUAGGGUCUUUAAAGAGAUAAUUAAGAGUGGGGGUUGCCUUAUACAGCAACUCGACAUAUCAAGGGUGACAGACAUCCAGCUUGGCUUCUCGGGGGAACUUUUCUGGAAGUAGAGACUGUGACU